rnacentral:rRNA from 1 species
UACAGAGGUCCCAAGCGUUGUUCGGAUUUACUGGGCGUAAAGGGUGUGUAGGUUGUCGAGCAAGUCUGACGUGAAAUCUCCAAGCCUAACUUGGAAAAUGCGUUGGAAACUGCUCGGCUAGAGGAAUGGAGGGGAGACUGGAAUACUUGGUGUAGCAGUGAAAUGCGUAGAUAUCAAGUGGAACACCAGUGGCGAAGGCGAGUCUCUGGACAUUUCCUGACGCUGAAACACGAAAGCCAGGGGAGCAAACGGG